CUUGGAGAAAUCCUGAAUCUCAGAGAAGAUUCUCGAAGCUGUUUGGGGCUGAGACGUCUCCCGUGGCACCUCAUCCUCCCAAGCCUGGUUUGGGCUUCCCUCUCCCCUGACACAGCCUCACUGAUGGGGGUGGAGCAGCUCCUGGCCCAGGCCAGCCCAGCUCAGAGAGGUCACCUGGAGCUUCAUGGCCAGGAGUUUCUCCAUCUGGAACUCAGACGCCAGGCGCUUCAGGGCCGAGAGCAAGCCGCUGGCCAGGGGACAGCAGAGCCAUUUGCUGCAAGGAGGCGUUUUUCUGUGGAUUAAGGGAGCUCGUCUUUAGAUAAAUGGCUUCAUAUUCA